AACAAUAACUCAGUAGCUAUGUAUAACAUUUUCCAUAAAUAUUAUGAGAAAUUAUAAAAAUAGUUGGAUAGUUUGAAAUGUUUUGAUUAUUUAAAAAAUAUUGAGAAGCUUAUGAGCUUAUGAGCUUCGACGUAAUUUCCAAAUUGCAAAAAGAUAGAAUGGAGCAAAAAAUCCCUUUAAAAUUGUUAUCCAAAAACAAGACCCUAACAAUGCGGCAGCCAUCGAAAACGAUGGAGAAUCUCCCCAAGCAGCGCUUUGUCACAUUCCCCUGUUCGAUGAAAGGACGACGCUACGUUACGAUUGAGGAGAUAAAUACGACGCCGAGACCGAAGCUGCACAAAAUAACAAAAAAAGAUUAUUUAAAGUCUGCCGAGCAUUGGGAAAAACUAGCAUUCAAAUGUAUAAAACUAUAAUAAUAUAUCAAUAAUAAUAGGAUAAUAAUAAUAAUAUAACAUUAA